rnacentral:ncRNA from 1 species
GAUACGGGACUGGCGGAUAUGUGGGUAUACCACGGGGGACCGUAUCAUGGAAUGUGCGGCUCCUUGUGCCCGCAUUUCCCUCAGCAAUCGCCGACCGCCUGGGCACG